GAUGAACGCUGGCGGCGUGCCUAAUACAUGCAAGUCGAGCGAACAGACGAGGAGCUUGCUCCUCUGACGUUAGCGGCGGACGGGUGAGUAACACGUGGAUGACCUACCUAUAAGACUGGGAUAACUUCGGGAAACCGGAGCUAAUACCGGAUAAUAUAUUGAACCGCAUGGUUCAAUAGUGAAAGACGGUUUUGCUGUCACUUAUAGAUGGAUCCGCGCCGCAUUAGCUAGUCGGUAAGGUAACGGCUUACCAAGGCAACGAUGCGUAGCCGACCUGAGAGGGUGAUCGGCCACACUGGAACUGAGACACGGUCCAGACUCCUACGGGAGGCAGCAGUAGGGAAUCUUCCGCAAUGGGCGAAAGCCUGACGGAGCAACGCCGCGUGAGUGAUGAAGGUCUUCGGAUCGUAAAACUCUGUUAUUAGGGAAGAACAAAUGUGUAAGUAACUAUGCACGUCUUGACGGUACCUAAUCAGAAAGCCACGGCUAACUACGUG
rnacentral:rRNA from 1 species